rnacentral:rRNA from 1 species
GACAGAGGUGCCAAGCGUUAGGCGGAAUCACUGGGCUUAAAGCGUGUGUAGGCGGAUGUCUAAGUACCUUGUGAAAUCCCAACGGCUCAACCGUGGAACUGCUUGGUAUACUGGAUGUCUUGAGCCAUCUAGGGGCUACCGGAACAAAUGGUGGAGCGGUGAAAUGCGUAGAUAUCAUUUGGAACGCCAAUGGUGAAAACAGGUAGCUGGGGGAUGAUGCUGACGCUGAGACACGAAAGCCAGGGGAGCGAACGGGG